GAUGAACGCUGGCGGCGUGCCUAACACAUGCAAGUCGAGCGAUUUACUUCGGUAAAGAGCGGCGGACGGGUGAGUAACGCGUGGGUAACCUGCCCUGUACACACGGAUAACAUACCGAAAGGUAUGCUAAUACGAGAUAAUAUGCUUUUAUCGCAUGGUAGAAGUAUCAAAGCUUUUGCGGUACAGGAUGGACCCG
rnacentral:rRNA from 1 species